GCAGUUUUAAAUCUACAAGAAACUAUCCAUUGCAUUUCAAUUUAGUUUUAAUAGCUACUUCAUAAGCAAGCAGUUUAAUUCUCGAAAAUGUUAAUUAGUAAUCUGCUUCAAUUAUGGAGGCAAAUGUAGUUAUUAUUCUAUUUAAAAGUGGUUAAUAAUUUGAUAACAAAUUAUGUAAAUGACUCUUUAAAGGAGCAGUGUAACUGUCACCGUGAGGUAAGCUCAUGACAAAGUUUCCAACUGGCAAUGCUGCAGUUAUUUAUUUUACUUUCGAGAUAGA
rnacentral:lncRNA from 1 species